AGCCACAGUCAUAUCACCCUGCAGACCAAGACCGGUUACUCACUGAAGCUAAGCAGGGCUGAGCUUGGUUUGUACCUGGAUGGGAGACCACUAGGGAACACUAGGUUGCUGUUGGAA
rnacentral:rRNA from 1 species